UACGUAGGGGGCAAGCGUUGUCCGGAUUUAUUGGGCGUAAAGGGCGCGUAGGCGGCCUCUUAAGUCAGUUGUGAAAGGUCCCGGCUCAACCGGGGAGUUGCAGCUGAAACUGGGAGGCUUGAGUGCAGGAGAGGAGAGCGGAAUUCUCGGUGUAGCGGUGGAAUGCGUAGAGAUCGGGAGGAACACCAGUGGCGAAGGCGGCUCUCUGGCCUGUUACUGACGCUGAGGCGCGAAAGCGUGGGGAGCGAAC
rnacentral:rRNA from 1 species